rnacentral:tRNA from 1 species
CACUAAGAAGCUAAACCGGACAUAAGCCCUAGCCUUUUAAGCUAGCAUUGGGGACCACGCCAACCCCCUUAGUGA